UCUGGAGUAGGCUUUAAAGCGUUAAGCACUGGUGGAACGGAAUGUGAACACCGGAUGAAGAAAGAAAAUUAAGAAUGAUUGUUACUUAAUUUUAAUUUCGCGAUUUUAUUGCCGCAUUCGCCACG
rfam:Lactobacillus mellis strain Hon2 genomic scaffold Hon2_scaffold1, whole genome shotgun sequence.